rnacentral:rRNA from 1 species
GACGAACGCUGGCGGCGUGCUUAACACAUGCAAGUCGAACGGGAUCCAAAGGCUUUUUGUUUUUGGUGAGAGUGGCGAACGGGUGAGUAACACGUGAGUAACCUGCCCCCUUCUUUUGGAUAACCGCAUGAAAGUGUGGCUAAUACAGGAUAUUCCAGGCUGGUCGCAUGAUUGGUUUGGGAAAUGGUUUGGUCUGGUGGGGGAUGGGCUCGCGGCCUAUAAGCUUGUUGGUGGGGUGAUGGCCUACCAAGGCGGUGACGGGUAGCCGGCCUGAGAGGGUGGGCGGUCACACUGGGACUGAGAUACGGCCCAGACUCCUCCGGGAGGCAGCAGUGGGGGAUUUUGCACAAUGGGCGCAAGCCUGAUGCAGCGACGCCGCGUGAGGGAUGAAGGCCUUCGGGUUGUAAACCUCUUUCGCUGGGUUGAAAGGCCAUGCUUUGGGUGUGGUUGAUUUGAACUGGUAAAGAAGUACCGGCUAACUACGUG